rnacentral:rRNA from 1 species
UACAGCGGUGGCAAGCGUUGUUCGGAAUUACUGGGCGUAAAGGGCGCGUAGGCGGCCUACUAAGUCAGACGUGAAAUCCCCCGGCUUAACCUGGGAACUGCGUCUGAUACUGGAAGGCUUGAGUAUGGGAGAGGGAUGUAGAAUUCCAGGUGUAGCGGUGAAAUGCGUAGAUAUCUGGAGGAAUACCGGUGGCGAAGGCGGCAUCCUGGACCAUUACUGACGCUGAGGCGCGAAAGCUAGGGGAGCAAACGGG